rnacentral:lncRNA from 1 species
UCUUUCAGGUUGGCUGCAGAAGGUCCGAAGAAAGAGGAGUUACUGGAGGAAAAAGUGGUUCAGAGGUGACUAUUCAACCGCAUAAGAGAUGGUGAAAAUUAACCUAUCACCACUGCUAAUGAACAUCACCCUAUGGAGAACCGAGACACAAAAGGGAAGAUUCAGAAUGUGUGACUUGUAUAAAAUAAAACCAGUUUCCCCCGACCCCAACACCUUCUUUGAACAUCUCUUUCUCCACCUCUCAAAAAAUUUCCUACUGAGUUGAUCCUCUAGUGAAAAGAGCAGUUAAUAAGAUGGAAAGCAACUGGACAUGGUGAAGAAAAAGCCAGCGAACUUAGGGGUGAGACUGAAGCCCCUCAGGGUGGCUGAGCUGUUAUUUUAAAAAUUCCUUCAAGUCACGUGCGGCCUGUCAAGAGAUGAGGUGAAGGAAGAGAAUGAUAAAUAUCUAUCUCCAGUGGAAAGAUCAUUUUGAAAGAAGGGCUGUUAGAUUAAAAACCAAGCUAGCCAGGGAAUGUUAAAGGAAGAGAAGUUCUCACAAGCAUUUUAAUGCCAACCAUGUGUUCCAAUGAGAGGAACACAGGAAAGCUCUUCAGCGGAUGAGAAAAUGAAAUUCGGCAUCACUAAUUCAUAGGAAUGAUAACAAAAACGGCAGUGAAGAAAAUCUGUGCAUUUUAAAAAAUGCAUGUUUUUUGCUUAGUGUUGUCCCUUCCCCUCCUGGCUUUUAGUAUACUGCAUUCAUUAAAGUAGCUGAGAAAAAAAAUAGUAGAUGCUUUUAACGUCAGGCCUGAGAGCUUCCAUAUCCUGUGUUGCAUUGAGUUUUGGGUUUGUUUCCUUAUUCACUGUCUUCUAGAUCUCAGACCCUAGCAGAAGGU